CCGUCCAUGGUGCGAUCCUGUAGCAAGUCGCAAGGGGAAAAAGACAUCGAGGCUGCUGCCCCAAAUCUGAGUGCCCUGCCUGUCCACGGGGAGAUGCUGUACCAAAUCGCAAGUGGAGUACUAUACCAGAUUGAUUUGCUUGCCCAUCCGUGGCCAAAGCUUGGAGGAGGUGACGUUGGUGGCCAUUUUUUGCCCAGGCCGGGACAUGCGCUGCGGAUCAGGCGUUGCCCACCAGCGAGGCGGCAUCUCACUGUUGCUUAUGUUGGAAGUCCAUUUGCGAUGGGCCAUCUUCUGUUUGUCUGUCGCCUUAGGCUGCGGACGUGCUGACAGGUAUGAAUCCCUUUGUACUCUCCCAUUCGCCUCUUUUUUUUCGAAAAGGGGGUUUACCCCAGUCUCUGCAUCAGAAAGAUGCAUACGGCUCAUCCCAUUCCCCUCUUGCUUUCCAAAUCUGCAUCAUAAUUUCAUUUUUUAUAUUAAAUGUAAAUUCAGAUUUUGGCUUUACAUUUUUAAAAUUUGAAGUAUUCGUGUUUACAUCCUAGCAUUGAUUAUGCCAUUGUAAUUUGAACUUUUUAGAUAAUCUCGUACAUACUUUUGUUGUUAAUGCAUGGAUCUAUAUUCAGUUCUGCAAUUUAUAUACCUUGCAUUUUUUAGGGAAUCAAACUGACAUUAGUGUAAAAAUUAUGAUGGAUGAACUUGUAAUAUAUUCUGAUAGAAUUGACAUUCAAGUUUUACCAAAUUGUAGAUUUGUGAGAAUCAUGUUUCAGACUGGUUAUUAUUCCAGAUCUGCAAUAAGAUUUUGAAACUUUUGCCCAUGCAGAAAGUCAGCUAGUUGUACACAUUUGUUAACAUCUCUAUUCAUGAAAGCAGUGUAUGGCAAUAAUAAUCUGCAUUGUUAUGUUCUUAUUUCUUGUUACGAAAUAAUGAGAAAUCCAAUCUGUAAUAUCAUUUUGUAUACAUUAUUUCUAGUCAUAUCUAACAACACAUGGACGUCACAGUUCUGAACCAUACAUUGUACUUUUUAAAUCAUGAUUUGGCCCUGAUAUACAUUUACUUGAAUAACAAAAAAAAAUAGAAGAUCUCUUUGUAUACUAUAUUUAUAUUCUUUGCGCUAUCUUCGCUUGGGCACUCCGUGUCAUCAAUCAGCACCUUUAAUCCUUCUCUGCUUGUGACUCUUGAUAGUGCCACAUAUAGUUGCCCAUGGCAGAAGACUUGCUUAGGCAAAUAUAGACCCACCUUGUUUAGGGAUUGACCUUGGCUUUUAUUUAUUGUCGUUGCAAAACAAACUGAUAGAGGAUAUUGCCUUCUUUUUAGCACGAAGGGCCACUUUGAGUCGCUUGGUGACAUAAUGAUAUUAGGUAUGUAUACCUUGUCACCGACAUGUGUUCCUGUGAUUAUUUGUGCCUCAAUGUACCUGUUUCCCAGCUGUGUAAUAGUCAUUCUUGUACCAUUGCAUAAACCUGCUGCUUGAUUGAUGUUGCGUAGGAGCAUCACCGGCAAACCUACCUUCAGUUUUAGCUCGUGGUUUGGAAUUUUUGGGAUAGUCAUGUUGUUAAGAAACUCUGUUGGACACAUAUUCUCCAUUGUGUUGUACUUCAUUGUUGCCUUGCAUACAGUGUCCAAGCUUAGGUAUGUCACCUCUUCCCCUUGUAUUUGGCUCAUUAUGUAGUCAUUUAUCUUCUCAACUGUUUCAUUCCUUGGACAUAGUAUUGCUCUUUCUUCGAGAAAUUCACGGUCAUGGUAGUUUUGUUGCAAGUUUGGGUACGUGCUUUUGACUAUCUCUUCUUUGGGGUCUUCUCCUUUAUGUAGAAUUAUGUCUUUAGGUAUUUUUACCCAAUCAUCCCCUUCAUCGUUUGUUCUUUUUCCGUCCCCAAUUUGUAAUAUCCAUGCUGCAAAUUGAGCCACAUUUUGCUUUUGUAUUGGAUCUUCUGACAGGCACUUCAACCGCAUAUUUUCAGUUAGGCUAAAUAUUUCGAUGUGCUUCCAUAGGUAUGACCUUUUGAUUGAGGCAUUUACUAUCUGUUCUCUCCUUCCCUUUGUUAUGACUGGAAGUAUUUGUCUGAAGUCGCCUCCUAGCACCACGGUCAUGCCACCAAAUGGCCUUUCGAGACUGUUUUGGUUUGUGAACCUUAUAAUAUCCCUAAGGCUUUUGUCUAGUGCCUCGAAGCAGUGUUUGUUUGCCUUCGGAGCCUCGUCCCACAAUAUCAGUGAGGUCUUCUUUACCAGUUCAGCCAAAUGUGAGCCUUGUUUUAUUUCACAUGUUGGUUCUUCCGUGAUAUUUAUUGGAAUGUGGAAUCUUGAGUGUGCUGUUCUUCCACCUUGGAGCAGCAAAGCUGCAAUGCCAGAUGAUGCUACCGCAAGCACUAUCUUUCCCUCUGAUCGUAGUUUCGUUGUAAUUGCUUUCCAUUGAUAUGUUUUGCCUGUGCCACCAUAGCCUUCUACAAAUAUCUGUUUUCCAUGUUCUCUCUCAGCUGACUCUAUUAUUGCAUCAAAGGCCAUUUUCUGGUCAUGGUUAAGAUUGCUUAUUAUGGUUUUGUGCUCACCUUUAGUGUUUCCAUGUCGUAGCUAAGUUCUUCAUUUAUCAUUCUGUUCCCAAGUUGUUCAAGUUCUGUAGCAUUUGGUAGUUCUAUGUCUGGAUAGUCCUUUAGUGUCUUUCCUGCUUGCCUCAUUAGUUUCUCUAUCUCGAUCAGAGCAUAUGCUUUUUUUUGUGAAUCAGUGAGCUGCAGCAUAGGAAAGUUUAGGAUAAUUCUUCUUUUGUACUGGAUAUCUUCAGAUAGUGCCUCCCAUGUUGAAUCCCACAACAUCUUUGGGCUGGUAACCUCACAAUGGCAUAAAAUUGUGCUGAAUAGCUGUCGUAAUUGUGUCCCGGAUCCCCAUGUUGAUGCUUCAUUGAUGCAUUCAAUCCACUCACUAUCAUCAUCAAGAAAACCAAGCGUCUGGCAUGCUGAUUUGUAUGUUGGGUGAACAACUCCAUUAACUGUUCUAAUAUCCUCAAAUGAUGUGCAUCCUUUCUUUGUGUUUAGAAGCAUUCUCAUAUAAUACCGCUCUCCACUUGCAGGUGUGCAUAGUAGAUUCAACCAAUAGCAAAGCCUCUUUUCCGCUCCUCCCAAGUUUUGGUGUCGCUUUUCCAUACAAAUUUUGAUGGCAAUUCUGCAUAGGUUAAUUCUUUUCCCACCUCAUGUAUUUUGUUUGCCUCCAUCCACUCAGUGAACUUAGUACUUGCGGUUCCUGGCUUUCUUACUAUCUUCUCGAUGUCAGUUGAGUCUGGAAAAAUAACUUGUUCAUUUUCAAUGUGGAAUGGCAGUCUCUCUACUAGUGGAUCACGAUGGUGUAGUAGAUCAAACUGGAAUAUCCGCCAGCAUGCUUCAGUUGUUGAUAUGUAUCUCAUCUCUAGGUAUUUCUUGAUUUCAUCAUAGUCGUUUGCCGCGUCUCUUUCCUUUAGUAAGGCUGUUACUUGGUCGUCGUCUUUAUGGAUGUACUUAAAUAGGUACUCCCUCCUUCCCAAAAUAUAAGGCACGAUUGACUUUUUACGGUCUUUGAUGCACAACUUUGACCACUAAUAUAUAUCAAAGUAUAUGGAUUGAACAUGUAUAAAUGACAUCGCCGUAUUUGUCUUGCAAAGCAAUUUUAUUUCAUAUGUAUGUAUACUAAUUUUAUAGACAUAUAAUACAUAAAAAUUAUAGUCAAAGUUGUGCAACGAAGACCAGAAAAGUCAAACCGUGCCUUAUAUUUUGGGAAGGAGGGAGUACUUGAUUGACCUGGACCUGUUGCACCACUCGACAUUUAUGUGAGCUCGGAAUUUGACCAAAAGGUUUCGGUUAUAUGGCACGACAAAUCUGUUGUCGAGCAUUGCUCCUCCCUUUUUGAUCGUCCUUCCAUUGUCGCGCCUUCUAUAUACUGGAAAGCCAUCCUCAUCGAUUGUGGCAUCGACAUUAUAUCAUUUUGGGAAGUGUUUAGUGCAUCUAUUGUCCAUCAUGCAUGGUGAUUUUGUAUUUGCCUCUCCGCAAGGCCCGUGCAUCAUGAAGUUUUCAACAGCUGCAUAUCCGUCAGGAUCGACAUCUUUGUCUGGGAUCUCCGCACUGAUUAUUUGAUCGAUUUCUGAUGGUCCUUUGCACUUGUAAUUCUCCUUGAGGAAUACCAAUAUGUGCGCAUGCGGGAGUCCCCUCUUCUGGACUCUAUUGUGUAGAUAACUGCAUUGAUUAAAAGUUUGAUUUUGUUAGAUUUCUGAAGAAUUUUAGUAAAUAGACAAAGGCUAUGGUGUGCUAAAAAAUUUAAACUUUAGGUUCUAUUAGUUAGCAAUGAGAAGUUGGCUGAUCUUACUUGAUAUAGUUUCUCCAAAGUGUUUUUUCACAACGAUGUCUCUCAUUAGCUCCUUCAGUUUUAUCAUGAAUACUCGGUCAAUAAUAUCUGGCGGGUCGGCUGGAUUUAGGCCUCCUCCUGGUUCAUCUAGCAUGUAUUGGAUCUCGGGCCACUUCGUGUUGCAUGUGAAUGUUAUAAACAGGUCUGGAUAUCCAGCCCAACAGCAUAUUGCAAAAGCGUCUUGCAAGUUCUGUGCCUUGUUUCUUCUGCCUCCUGUAUAAGAUGAAGAUACAAUUAUCCUCUUUCCAACCUGCUCUGUUCUGGUGUCCCCUCGCUCAAUCGCGUCCUGCAGUCCACUGUAAAGUUCACUCCGUAGCUUCCCUUGAUUAUUCCUGAUCCAAUUUAGUCUGUUUGCUCAAUGCAUGUGUAAACAUCUACCCAAAAUUGCAGAGACAGAUGUCUAGACGUUAGCAGCGACAUUCCUUGGUCGGGUCUUUGCUGUAGGUAGUAUGCGUAGUAGUCCAGCAUAGUUACAUAUUUCCUGCUUUUGUCAUCUUCUUUUGUUCGGUUGUAAGGUAUUUCAAGCUUGAAGCCGUCUUCUCCGUAUGGAAACAACAAUGGGUAUUGCAUCGACAUUAAUUUUGGAUGGGUUUCCGAUAUUCUGUGAGGCACCAUAUUUUUGUACUCGACAACGAUAUCUCGUCCUUCGCUCUCUCCAGUUAGGUCUCUUACAACCAAUGCUGCAACUUCCGAUGCAGAUGGAAGGUUGUGUGUUCCGUUCCUUUUCCCAAGUAUUCUAAGUGUGUAAUCAUGGUAGUCUUCUUCUUUGAAUCUAUCUCUUGCCAUUCUGAAAGAUUUUGCGAGGACGUUGUUCUCAUCAAGCAUUUUUUUGUAGUUCUUUGACAAUGGCAGGGUCCACAGUUGAUUUAUUAUCAUUGCAUCUUGAAGCAUCUAUCCUGUUUUGCACUUCUGUCUGAUAGAUAUAUAGCUGGGCAAAUCGAGGUUUGUUACCUUCUUCAAGUAGAAGAGUUCCAAUAUGGUGAUAGUUCUGGCCAUGCAGUCUAAAAACAUAUGGUCCUUUGCCUUUGUUUAUUUCUUUGUCAACAGUUCCACCCAUUGAUGUGAAUGAGAACAUUGAGUUGUAUGACCUGAUAUUUUCUCUGAAGUUUGUUGCAUCACUUCCUUCACCUGUUAAUAGUCCUGCGAGGUAAGGUGGAGGAUGUGCCAUCUUUGGUAGGUCAAUCUUACCUUGUUUACAGCAAAUUCCGAAAGAAGGUUUUUUGGUUCCUCUAUGAGAAUUUAAUCUUUUUUCACACCAUAGUAUUGCAUUGCAAUGUUCACAUCUAUAUGUUGGCUUUCCAAAGUUCCAUAUUUUGCUAUAAUAACUCUCGGACGUAGUGCUGCUGUUUGUUUCUUUGAUGUUGCUUCCAAGGUCAUUGUCGCUCCUACUUGUUCUUGCAUGCUUCACAUUUGUUCUUUCUUUGAUUUAUUCCUUUCUCUUCCGUGAAGCAUCUUCUUCUUUUUUAUUGGUUGUUUCCUGUGUAUUCCUGCAUCUCUUACUCCUUUUUUCUUGGAGUUGUUGUUUCCUCCUGAUAAUAGCUUCUCUAGCUUCUUUUGUAAGUUAGCCUGCGGAUUUUGACGUGUACUGUCCCUUCAUUUCUGCAUUGGAUAUUCUUUUAGCAAUAUAGUAUCAUAUAUUUAAAUUCUACUUUAUGUACAAUGUUCUCAAGAGAUUAACAAUAUAUGCAGUAAAUAAGAGAUUCUUGCUGCAUGUAGAAACAACCUAUAAUACUUAUCAUCAUGCUUUCAGGAUUAUUGUGUUGUGUGGUUGGAGCUGCAGUGGAUGGCAUUAUUGCUGUGACAGUGUGCUUGUUUCUCAGUGAACGACAGUUGCUCCAUGGGAAUUAGUACGGCGAAGUACUCUCUAAAAUCAUUUUUAGCACUAUACGUAAAAUUAUUAGGUUCUGCAAUAUUUCAAAGGGCAAUAUUUCAAAUAUAUAUGUUAGAAAAGUACCAAAAAAUAGUAAGCAUUACAUUAAAGAUAGAAAAAGGUCAACAAUAUACCUGAUUGUGUUUUCUUUUUCUUUUUAAUUUUUGUAAAGCUUCACACGCCUGAGCCAAUUAUUGUCGUAAUUGUAUCUUUGCUGCAAAUCAAAUCCUGUAGCGAUUCUGGAUUUUUUUGUAGCAAAUUAUUAAAGCAUAUCUUUGUAUUGCUGCCAUGACUUUAUCAGCCUGUGUGUCAGUUUUAGUUCACAACAGAAGCUGGUACUAUUUUCUCAAAGAAAAUAGAGUUUAUGUCAAGAGCCAAGGCAAGACGUGCGAGGAUAGUUUAUUUCAGUCAGUAUUAUAAUUAUAUGCCUAAAUGUAAAACAAUGUAAUAAUGAAUAAAAAAAUAUGAGGUUGCUUUGAAUUGAUGAUAAUAGUAGUUUUCCACGGAGAGCAUUUACCUUCUAAUCUGAAGUCUGGC
rnacentral:lncRNA from 1 species